CUUGUGUUCUUUAACUGUCUGGUAGAUGCCUACGGGAGGAUGGAGAAGUUUGCAGAGAUGAAAGGUGUUCUCGAAUUAAUGGAGAAGAAGGGAGUUAAACCUGAUAAGAUUACAUACAGGACAAUGGUUAAGGCUUACAGAAUUAGUGGCAUGACUAGCCAUGUUAAGGAACUUGAUGGUGUGGUCGAGUCCGUUGGUGAAGCUCAAGUUGUGUUGAAGAAGCCGGACUUUUAGCCGAAGAAUAUAGCUUAAUUUUCUGGUAUAUUUAUAUAUCUACUAGCCAAGGAAUGUAGUUAGUAUGAGAGUAUUGUAAAUACAUUUCAUUUCGCUUACAAAACUUUGUAACACAAAAACAGAAAGCAAAAAAAAAGUGAUACAAGUAUAGUUCUCUACUCUUGUUUGUGAUAUAUGUUUAUAUGUCUGUAUGUCCUGAAGCAGCUAGAUAUGAGAGUUGAAGGCUGUACGCUUCUUUCAGCUGAGUCAAAACUUCCGCAAUAGAUGGCCUGCUAGAUGCAUCUCUCCCCACACAUCUUAUAGCCACAGAAGCAGCUUUUUUCAUGCUCUCUGGAUCAAAUGUUCCCUUCAAGACAUCAUCCACAAUCUCAAAUGCUCCUGCUUGUAAGUUUGGCCUUGCCUGCACAUAAGUAUUUCGAUAUUUUGUCACACUGUGUACUUAGACACUGGGAGAUGAUAAAAGAAAGACGGACAUGUUAAUCUUACCCAUAAGACUAAGUUAAAAGAAUCUGGUGAUCCCGAGUGACUUAAGGGUUCUCUUCCACAGAUGAGCUCCAACAGAACCACACCAAAGCUAUAGACAUCACUUUUCUCUGUCAGCUGCAGGGUAGAGUAAUAUCUGGAAGGAAAAGUAUGAUUAAUGAUUAGUUAAUGAAAAUGUUUAUCCGUCACGAAUGCUGAGAGAUGGUUACAGUAGAUUUUACUCAGGGUCAAGGUAGCCUGCAGUGCCUUUAACAACAGUAGUAAUAUGAGAUGCAUCUGCUUUUGUAAACUGUUUUGAUAGGCCGAAGUCAGAAACUUUUGCGUUCAUAUCCUUGUCCAGAAGUAUGUUGCUGCACUUUACAUCCCGGUGUAUAAUUCUUGGCUCACUUCCAUUGUGCAGGUAGUCCAGCCCUUCAUGAACAAGACGGAAUGUUACUAUCUGCCAGAAUCAAAUGUGUGUUUAGUACUAAUGACUGAUGUUGAAGAUUUACCUUUUGCAGCAUCAACUGCAACCUUUAGUCUUGAAACCCAGUUCAGUGAAAGUCUUUUACGACUUGGACCUGCAGAAGCAAGAUAGCACAGAACGCUAUAAAUUUGAGAGGAAGAUGGUUUUGGAAAAGGAUGAUGAGCAUUCGGUAGAUACUUGGGGAUUUGCAUACCGUAAAGAUGAUCAGCUAAUGAUCCACCAGGCAGAUACUCAUAUACUAGUAUUUGCCGUUUUGGUUCGUAGCAGAAGCCCUCGAAGGUAACUAGAUUUUGGUGGCGUAUCUGAGACAAAAGGUGCACCUAGAAGUAGACAGUACAAAGGGAGACAUUAGAUCGAAGCACUCGGAUCACUAAAGAUGAAUUUGAAUGCAUAAUAUUCAAAUUAAAGCUUAACCUCGUUGAUGAAAGAAUCAGCUCCAAGUUGAGUUUUAUCAAAUCUCACUUUGACAGCAACUUGUUUUCCAUCUGGUAGUUUCCCAUGGUAUACAGAUCCAAAACUUCCACGGCCAAUCACUUCCUUGAAGCUCCUUGUAGCUGUCUUGAUCUCUUUGUGAGAAAAGAUUCUUGAAGUGUUCCAGUUCUGCAUCUUCAGUUGUUCUCCUGAUCCAGAUUUUGAUAACUAUUAAGAAUCAUAAAGCCACAAACUAUGUGGGAGCAAAAAAAGAAAGCGUUUGUUCCCCCAUACUGGUUAUAUCUCUCUCUUUGUUUCUCUGUCUCCUCGUGAAGAUCGACAUGAAAACAAAGAUGAGGAGAGUGGCAAACAAGGCGCCACCAGAAACUCCUAGCAAGAUCGCUACACGGUUUUGCUUCUUGUGUUUCUUAUUGGUUGGGAUAGUGACUUGUGGUGUGUCAAUUGUUGAAGAGACAUUGUUGCAUGAUGACGAAGUGAACGAAAGGCAUGGGUUCCCCGUUGUCCUGAUAGAAAGCAAAUCAGUAACACUAGAACUCAAGACUAGAAUGGCGGUAAGACAGAAACUAUAUACCUUACUUCCAGAUCCGUUCUGUUAAGUGACUGUGGCAAGGGGCCUACUAAGUUAUUGUUUUCCAGAUUCCUAAUCCUUUACUCCGACAGCAUGGUUCUGGUUUGAUAAUUGGUCGCCUUUUGGAAGCAUUGCUACCUAUCUCAACUUGACUGGCUCAAGACUUGUUGCAAGACUGCUUCAUUCAAUGUGGGGUUUUUGACCUGAGAUACAAUGGACCCCCGCAUACCUGGACCAACUAUCAGCCUUCUUACCCGAUUGGAAAAAAACUUGACCGUCUCCUUGUAAACUCCCCCACAAUCUCCUCCCAUCCUCAGGCUUUUGCCUCCUUCCUACCUCAGUUGUUCUCUGAUCACUCGCCUUGCCUGCUAGACCUCGCUUUUACCCUACCUAAAGCUGGAACUAAACCCUUCAAAUUCCAAAACUACCUCACCAAACAUCCCAACUUUCUGGAGGUGGUUUCACGCGCAUGGGUUGAGGCCGGAAACAUUUGUUCGACUCUGACACAGCUUUGUUGGAAACUGAAAAUCAUAAAGAGUGACUUAAAAAAUUUAAAUAGAGAGAACUAUUCUAAAAUUCAAGAGAGAGUUGCUGACACUUACAGUUUGCUUCAAUGUGCGCAGGUACUAGCUCUUCAAUCCCCAACACCGCUUCUGUUCCAACAAGAACGUGAUCUACAUCAAAAGUGGCUGUUCCUAAGACAAAUUGAAGAGAGUUACUUCAGGCAGAAAUCCCGGAUAAACUGGUUAAGUGAAGGUGAUUUCAAUACUACCUUCUUUCACCGCAUGUGUCAAGUUAGAGAAAGCUACAAUGCUAUCCGGUCGUUCCUGUCCAGCAAUGGAAUCCUGGUUACUGACCCGAUGGAAAUGAGUGAACUAGCGGUAGAGCACUUCAAAGCGAUUCUAGGUUCGUCAAACUACUUGAGACCUGCUAUCUGGUCCCCUCACUCCUGGUUUGCGGAUCUCAUUCAGUUCAGAUGUUCCCUGCAACAAUCCCAGCUAAUGUUAUCAGUACCAAGUGCUGAUGCAAUAAGAGCAAUGUUCUUCAAGCUAAACCCAAAUAAAGCUCCUGGGCCUGACGGAUUAACCUCUGGUUUCUACAAAGCAAGUUGGGAAACUAUAGGGCGAGAGGUGGUGGCUGCAACACAAAAUUUUUUCCAUUCUGGGUUCCUUCCUACCACAACUAAUGCCACCAUUCUUUCCCUCAUACCAAAGUUUCCGGGUGCUACAAAAGUUUCAGAUUACAGGCCAAUUGCUUGUCUAAACACAGUUUAUAAGGUGAUUUCAAGGAUGUUGGUUGCGAGAUUAAAGCCUAUCCUGCAAGACCUAAUUCUACCUUGCCAAACGGCGUUUGUGAAAGAUCGCUUGCUAGUGGAAAAUACUGUUCUAGCUGGGGAGUUAGUUCAUGGCUAUCAUAAGAACAAAGGAAUUCCGAGAAUUACCAUCAAAGUAGACAUCACCAAGGCUUUCGAAACUCUCUCCUGGGUUUCCUCUUCACUUGUCUUGAAACUCUACACCUGCCUCCUCAUUUCAUCACCUUGCUCAGGGCUUGUGUCUGCAAAACAAGUUUCAUGGUUGGUUACAAUGGAACGGUCAACGGUUAUUUCAAAGGCAAAAGAGGCCUGAGACAGGGAGACCCUCUUUCUCCCUAUCUUUUUGUAAUCGCCAUGAACUGCCUCUCUUUUAUGCUAAACUCUGCAGCUGCUCAGGAAAAAAUCAAAUACCAUGCUAACUGUAAGAAGAUGAAGAUGACGCACCUAUCAUUUGCUGAUGAUCUCCUCAUUUUCAUAGACGGCUCGAUCGAAUUUGUCCAACAGGUGCUGCAUGUUCUUAAAGAGUUUGAGCAAAGGUCCGGGCUCGCAAUAAGUAUGCAGAAAUCGAGCUUCUUUGCCUCAGGGCUCCCUGACCAAGUCAUUGACACAAUCCAAGCUUCUACUGGUAUGAUCUGCGGAGAGCUCCCGAUUCGCUACCUAGGGGUGCCUUUGAAUUCCAGAAAGUUAAACCUUGUCAGCUGUGAACCUCUGAUCCAUCAAAUAAAAAAGAGACUUUCCUCAUGGUCAGUCAAAUCCUUAUCUUUCGCUGGAAGACUACUGCUAAUAAAAACAGUGAUAGCAGGAAUUACUACCUUUUGGUGCUCGGCUUUCAUUCUUCCCAAAGCUUGCGUGAACCGGAUAAACUCUUUAUGUAGUGUGUUUCUUUGGAAAGGGGAUAUCACAAGCCACAACACCGCAAGGGUAGCUUGGGAGACUGUCGUGUUAACUAAGCAGCAAGGUGGUCUUGGUGUAAAGGACCUCCAAACAUGGAACAAAGCAUGCUGUUUGAAACUUGUGUGGCUUCUGUUUUUCAGGUCUGGCUCGAUCUGGGUUGCAUGGUUUAUAGAGGUAAUCCUUAAAGGCUCAAUACACAACUAUUGGACAACCAAACCGAAGGCUUCCUUCUCCUGGCUCGCAAACAAGUUGCUCAAGCUCAAAGAUGUAGUCUUCCCGCUCAUCAAGCUUCGACUGGAGAAUGGUAUGUCGGCACGGUUCUGGUUUGAUAAUUGGUCGCCUUUUGGAAGCAUUGCUACCUAUCUCAACUUGACUGGCUCAAGACUUGGCAUCCCACUAUCUGCAACGGUAGCUUCUCUCUAUAGGAACGGUAACUGGCGUCUCCCACCUGCAAGAUCAGAGCAACAAACCCAACUUCAGAUUCACUUGACGACUGUCAAUUUAACUUCAGAUAAAGACUACUUCGAAUGGGAAAUUGAUAGUAGGGUCACCACCACCUUCUCAACUGGUGAUGUCUAUACCUAUCUUAGAGGAACAGUGAAUGAGGUUGACUGGGCUACUGUGGUUUGGAACUCUUAUGGGAUCCCUCGUCACAACUUCCACACAUGGCUAAUGAUUUUGGAUAGGUGCCCGACGAGAGACCGCUUGCUUCGUUGGGGAAUCUCAGUUUCACAUCUCUGCUUGCUGUGUAACAAUGCUUCUGAGAGCCGUGAUCACAUCUAUUUCGACUGUAACUUCUCCUUCGACUUAUGGGCAAUAAGCGCGAGGAGAUGUGGGCUCACUCCAAACCGUUCCUGGUCAGACACCAUCACGCAACUGAAAAGCCUCCCAAUGGACCGUUCAUCGAGACCUCAUAGACUUCUUGUCCUCCUAGCUUGGCAAUCUACGAUUUAUUGGGUCUGGAAUGAGAGAAACGCACGGUUGCACUCUAACACCUAUCGCUCCAUCGACUUUCUCUUCAAAACUAUUGAUCUUCAGAUUAGAAACAGAACUCAGAGUUUCCGGGUGACUAACCCAAGACUGUCUUCCCAACUACUACAGUCCUGGAUCCGACUUGCAUGAUUUAAAUCAGGUCCCGAUCUUCCCUCUGAAAUCUCCGCCUCACCCCAAUUCUUUCUGCGUCUUUUGGAAGAAGAAGACAAACUGUUGUUCGGUUUACUCCAACUUUGAUUUUGGUAAUACGGGCCAUAUAUCCGUUCCAAACUAUGAGUUUUUUAGUGGGUUUGUAUUUUUAACUUAAGUCCAACGGGCUUGUAAACGUUUUUAUUUUUCUUUGCAGUUAAUUUGAAAGCCAAUUUUCAAAAAAAAAACAUACAUAAUUAGAUUUUACUAAUAAUUUUCUUUUUGUAUUGUUAUCUGAAAUUUAACACAUGUAUAUACUAUUACAUUAUUAUUUUUAGUUAGAAAAAGGAAACUCGUAGUAGUAAACGAUCCCACUUUGGUCAUUUAUUCUCUGUCAUGUGAGACCCCCUUUUGACAGAAGUCACGUGAAAACAUAUCGAUGUUCUGAAAUCAAUCAAACCAUCAAUAAAUAUCCACACGUCGUAUCUUUUUCAAAUACGAAUUGAUUUGAUAUCAUGUCGAUCUCAUGGAACAGAGGUUGUCUAUGAUCCAUUUUUAUUGGAACACUUCUAUAGUUCUAUGAUCCUUUCAUUUGAGUGUAAUUGAGAUUUGAAAAUCCUCCAAGUCUGUAGACCCUUUUGGUUAUUUGGGCCUGGCCCAAUAAUAUUCUGAAAAGCUUUCCAUUUUCCCUUUUUUCUGAUCCUUGAAAAUAAUGGUCCAAAUGGUUUCGCUCUCCACCUCCACGAGCCACGCUCAUCUACCCCCGUCGGCGUACAACCGCCGGCCGGCGGAGAGGAAAGUUACCGUGCGAUGCGUAUCCUUUUCCCCGCGCGAGCCUAAACAUACGAGUAACGACUCCUUCGUGGCGCUUAGAGAGACUAGGCAGAGAAAAUGGGUGAAGAGCACGGAGGAGAGAUACUCGAAGGAGAUUCAAGAUGAAAUGAACUCCAAAAUCGCGUCUAGGAAAGCGAUAUCGAUAAUACUCCGAAGAGAAGCCACAAAGGCGAUAAUCGAGAAGAAGAAAGGACCAACCAACUCCAAGAAGCUUCUCCCAAGGACGGUGCUCGAGGCUCUCCACGAGCGAAUCACAGCUCUCCGAUGGGAAUCUGCUCUUCAGGUUUGUAAACUUCGUCUGCUCUCUCGACUUAUACUUUUUGUUAAUUUUUUUUUUUAAUUUUUGGGAUUUGAUUCUGUGUAAGGUGUUUGAGCUACUUCGAGAACAGCUAUGGUACAAACCUAACGUUGGCAUCUACGUCAAGCUCAUCGUCAUGCUUGGCAAAUGCAAGCAGCCUGAAAAGGCUCAUCAGCUCUUUCAAGAAAUGAUCGGUGAAGGCUGUGUGGUGAAUCAUGAAGUGUAUACUGCGCUUCUAUCUGCUUAUAGCAGGAGUGGACGAUUUGACGAUGCGUUUACUCUUCUGGAAGUUAUGAAAAGCAGUCAUAACUGUCAGCCCGAUGUGCAUACUUACUCCAUCCUCAUCAAGUCGUUUCUUCAGGUUUUUGCGUUUGAUGAGGUUCAGGCUCUGCUCGCUGACAUGAGAAGACUGGGUAUUAGGCCUAAUACAAUCACAUAUAAUACCCUCAUCGAUGCGUAUGGGAAAGCAAAAAUGUACUUUAGCACCCUUUUACUAUCCUUUUUGAGUUAUUAUGGUUUAGUUCAAAGCAUGUAUAAGCUGAGAUAGUUUGUUUUCUUUUUUGGAAGGUUUGUGGAGAUGGAAUCAACACUUAUCCAAAUGCUUGGAGAGGAUGACUGCAAGCCUGAUUCUUGGACCAUGAACUCAACACUUAGAGCCUUUGGUGGGAACGGGCAGAUAGAAAUGAUGGAGAAUUGUUACGAGAAGUUUCAGAGCUCUGGGAUCGAACCCAACAUCAGAACAUUCAAUAUCCUCCUUGAUUCGUAUGGGAAAACAGGAAACUACAAGAAGAUGAGCGCCGUGAUGGAGUUCAUGCAGAAGUACCACUACUCAUGGACCAUAGUCACAUACAAUGUGGUCAUUGACGCGUUCGGGAGGGCAGGAGACUUGAAACAAAUGGAAUAUUUGUUUAGGCUGAUGCAGUCGGAGAGGAUAAAACCAAGCUGUGUUACGCUGUGUUCUCUUGUUCGUGCGUAUGGAAGAGCUGGUAAAGCGGAUAAAAUUGGAGGAGUAUUGCGUUUCAUUGAGAACUCAGACGUAAGGUUGGACCUUGUGUUCUUUAACUGUCUGGUAGAUGCCUACGGGAGGAUGGAGAAGUUUGCAGAGAUGAAAGGUGUUCUCGAAUUAAUGGAGAAGAAGGGAGUUAAACCUGAUAAGAUUACAUACAGGACAAUGGUUAAGGCUUACAGAAUUAGUGGCAUGACUAGCCAUGUUAAGGAACUUGAUGGUGUGGUCGAGUCCGUUGGUGAAGCUCAAGUUGUGUUGAA
rnacentral:lncRNA from 1 species